rnacentral:rRNA from 1 species
UACGAAGGGGGCUAGCGUUGCUCGGAAUCACUGGGCGUAAAGGGCGCGUAGGCGGAUCUUUAGGUCGGGGGUGAAAGCCCAGGGCUCAACCCUGGAAUUGCCUUCGAUACUGAGGAUCUCGAGACCGGAAGAGGUAAGUGGAACUGCGAGUGUAGAGGUGAAAUUCGUAGAUAUUCGCAAGAACACCAGUGGCGAAGGCGGCUUACUGGUCCGGUUCUGACGCUGAGGCGCGAAAGCGUGGGGAGCAAACAGG